UACGUAGGGGGCAAGCGUUGUCCGGAUUUAUUGGGCGUAAAGAGCGUGUAGGCGGCUUUACAGGUCCGUUGUGAAAACUCGAGGCUCAACCUCGAGACGCCGGUGGAAACCGUAAAGCUAGAGUCCGGAAGAGGAGAGUGGAAUUCCUGGUGUAGCGGUGAAAUGCGCAGAUAUCAGGAAGAACACCCGUGGCGAAGGCGGCUCUCUGGGACGGUACUGACGCUGAGACGCGAAAGCGUGGGAGCGAACAGG
rnacentral:rRNA from 1 species